rnacentral:misc_RNA from 1 species
UACACCCUCACCCCUCCCUUACUGGGUGUGUUUGCUCUGUUUGCAAGCCAUUGGGGUGGAUCUGGCUUCCCCAAUCAAGCCGUUUAACUGCGGCAGGUUGGGUUGGCUGAAGUGCAGAGGCUUAAGCAAGGACCCGAUAUGGGCUUCAACUGGAUAGGUAGCACCGGCUUCUGCCGACUACACGAAGUUGUUGCUUGAGGAUCUUGCUAGGAGCCAAGCAGGAACGUGCCUUUGGCAUGUCUAAAC